GAUGAACGCUGGCGGUAUGCUUAACACAUGCAAGUCGAACGGACUCUUCGGAGUUAGUGGCGGACGGGUGUGUAACGCGUGAGAAUCUGGCUUUGGGUUUGGGACAACUACUGGAAACGGUGGCUAAUACCGGAUGUGCCGAGAGGUAAAAGAGAAAUUGCCUGAAGAUGAGCUCGCGUCUGAUUAGCUAGUUGGUGAGGUAAAGGCUCACCAAGGCAGCGAUCAGUAGCUGGUCUGAGAGGAUGACCAGCCACACUGGGACUGAGACACGGCCCAGACCCCUACGGGGGGCAGCAGUAGGGAAUUUUCCGCAAUGGGCGAAAGCCUGACGGAGCAAUACCGCGUGAGGGAAGAAGGCUCUUGGGUUGUAAACCUCUUUUCUUAGGGAAGAACAAAAUGACGGUACCUAAUGAAUCAGCAUCGGCUAACUCCGUG
rnacentral:rRNA from 1 species